rnacentral:rRNA from 1 species
CCUANGGGGGGCAGCAGUGGGGAAUAUUGCGCAAUGGGGGAAACCCUGACGCAGCAACGCCGCGUGGGUGAUGAAGGCCUUCGGGUCGUAAAGCCCUGUCGGGUGGGACGAAUCGGUCGCGGGUGAACAAUCCGCGGUCUUGACGGUACCACUAAAGGAAGCACCGGCUAACUCCGUGCCAGCAGCCGCGGUAAUACGGAGGGUGCAAGCGUUGUUCGGAAUUACUGGGCGUAAAGAGCUUGUAGGCGGCUUGCUAAGUCCGAUGUGAAAGCCCUCGGCUCAACCGGGGAAGUGCAUUGGAUACUGGCGAGCUUGAGUAUGGGAGAGGAGAGCGGAAUUCCCGGUGUAGAGGUGAAAUUCGUAGAUAUCGGGAGGAACACCAGUGGCGAAGGCGGCUCUCUGGACCAAUACUGACGCUGAGAAGCGAAAGCGUGGGGAGCAAACAGGAUUAGAUACCCCANUANUC